GGGUUAGUAGGUUGGUCAUGCCUCUGGUAUGUACUGGUCUCACUGAUUCCUCCUUCCUGAUGAACCUUAAUGCCAUUUAUUUGGUGUUUUGGGGAAUUUGGACUGUUACCUUGAGAAAAUUAGAGUGUUCAAAGCAGGCUUAUGCCUGAAUACAUUAGCAUGGAAUAAUAGAAUAGGACGUGUGGUUCUAUUUUGUUGGUUUCUAGGAUCGCCGUA
rnacentral:rRNA from 1 species